GCAGUCUAACUCGGUGGUACAGUGCUUGCCUGGAAUGCAAAAGAGCCUAGGUUCAACCCCUAGCACCUGGG
rnacentral:tRNA from 1 species